rnacentral:tRNA from 1 species
AGUUAAAAAGCUAGUGGUUAAAGCCUAAUGUCUUGAAAACAUUCAGAAAGAAGUUCAAACCUUCUAUUAACUU